ensembl:lncRNA
GUAUAUAUAUGUAUAUAUGUGUAUAUAUGUAUAUGUGUGUAUAUAUACAUUCCUUGACUUAAAUAUAGUAGUAUUUAUGAACUUCGACUUACAGUUAUUUUCCUCGGCCCGUUGCUGAAGUCAGUGAAGCGCACACACACAAUAACUACACAACCACCAUGACAUGCAUAGGAAACGCAAAGGAGAUUGGAAUCACAUCUGCCUCAGCAUUGUGAUCGAUGCACCUCUGUGGUCACACGUGCCCAAACUACAGUUACAGUCCUUCAGCUACCAACCCCUCAUUACAGGGUGAGCAUUUAAAAUGCGUCUCUGGACAUGUUAACAGGGUUCAACGAAGGUCUAAACUUUAACCAAUGACAAGAGCACAGAAAGUGUCCCAUGAGAGUUUUAGUAUUGAGGUGAAUGAGCUCUGCGUGUUUGUCCUGAUGAAGAUAAAUAAUGUGUGAGCUCUCCCAGCAGGUUGUUGUGGAGGUGUGAAGGUGUGAACUCUGCUAUGAAUCAGGGUGAGGACCCAGAGGAGGGAGUCCCUCCCUCUGAAGGCCCUCUGUGUGGGGAACAUGACAGCCAGACCAAAGCUCAGAGGACCCAUAAGAGACCAGGACCUGGACCCAGCUCUGUGAACAUGAAGCGUACACGAUACACGGUACCCUCUGUUGAUACAAGUUCACAUCAGCAGAGAGGAAAGUCUCCUGAACCCAGAUGUGUGUCCAUGAAGAGUAAUCGGUCUAAACGAUUUCCCAUAAACUUCAAAGAUGGAUGCCGUUCUUAUGACCCAGAGUAAGUUCUUAAGCAGAGGAAACAGAUGAAGAAUAAUUCUGAUGCUUAGUUAUGAAUUACAGAAAUGGUAGUGCAUCGUUUAAAGUGUUGCUUUCAUGACGAACAAUCAUGAGAGAACUCGUUAUCUUUAUCUAACUGGUCUGUAUGUAUUGACAGAGGUGUCAAAAGUAUUCACAUUCAUUACUCAAGUAGAAGUACAGAUACUAGGGUUUAAAAAGACUCCUCUAGAAGUUGAAGUACCAACUCAAGCUUUUUACUUAAGUAAAAGUAUAGAAGUACUGGUUUCAAAACUACUUAAAGUAUAAAAGUAAAAGUGAUGUAAGAAAUUCCAUUAAGGACAAACUCUUAACGCGUAACGUCGCUCACACAACACGUCAGUCCGUUACAAUGUGAUCAGAAGGCGCCUGCAGAUCACGUGACCUGCCGUUGGGAUGGUGGAAACAACAACAACAACAGCAACAACAAAUGUAUCUGACUUAAACAGAUAAAACCACAACCCGUUUUCCAGUGACACGAGUCACACACACGUUGUUCACAUUGAUGAGGUAGACUGCAGUGUCUCCCCGAGGUUCACUACGUCAUGGGGGGGCACCCCUGUUUAUAAUGAUGGAAACACUGAACUGGCAGCGGUCGGUUAUCAAAACAUGGGCCAAAUAACCAGAAUGUUCAGGCUUCAAGAGGAAAUACAGAAUCCCUUUGUGUUCAUUUCCAAAGCCGCAUUAAGACACACAUCACUUUAUUUAAUACGCUGCUUGCAAGUCGCUGUGUUGUGCCAGACUCUCAAUAAAACAUUUAGGACAAACCCACGGUCAUGAAGACACUCAUCUAACGUCACAUGGACUCUGCGUGAGGAAGAGGAGGAGGAAGAGGAGGAGGCUCCAUGUCGCGAAAAUACCAACUUUCCAAAGACCACUUUUCCCACCCGGUGUCGCUCCGAUCUGCCGGCGCAUCGCGGAGAAAACCAAUCGGGUGUCUGGAUGCUAAAUGUUUAUAAUCUCAUCCAAUCACAAUCAAAUGCACUCUGGCCGCAUAGCGACAUUUAUCUAGAUGGGUUCUGUUUGUGUUUGUGUUGUUGAACUACGACAAGUCGAAAGUAACGAGACAGAGUUUUUAAAAUGUAAGGGGUAGAAGUAAAAAGUCCUCUGUAAAAUAAAUACUCCAGUAAAGUAUAGAUACGCAAAAUUUCUACUUAAGUACAGUAACGAAGUAUUACACCUCUGUGUAUUCAAGGGUGAAUCAUUAACCUUAAAACCUUCUCAGAUGUAAACCCAAUGUGAGCUAGUUCCUCCACAUCAGGAUCAGGACCAGCUGACGCAGUCUCUGGACUCCAUGCAGAGGUUUGGAGACCUUUUCACAGAGUCAGCAGACUCUGUUUCAGAGGAUCUAGGAGACUAGAGGUCAGGGGACGGUCAGGGGACGUUCAACUCAACUAAUAAACUGUCCGUCCAGUCUUCAGCGUCUGGUUUUCAUAAUGAUCAAUCAUGACAGAAGCCAAUAUCUUUAACUAACUGUUGUAUUGGUGCUGAUGGUACAAACACCAUGUGAGCUGAUGGUUCAUGUUCCUCCACAGAGAGGACCAGGAGAGCUCAGAGGUCCCCACAGGUCCGUCUGCCCAGCAGCAUCAAACACAUCUGGACUCCAUCUUCAUGGUGUGUACAUGUACAACUACUUUAACAUCUCUCAGUUCACCAUCAAAUCCAUGCUGCACUUUGUAGACCAGUGGAUUGUCAAUCUGUCCAACAUGGACCUGAUGGUGGCUUCCAUGUUAUAGUUUGUGUCAUUCAUAGAAUAUUCUG